rnacentral:rRNA from 1 species
UACGAAGGGUGCAAACGUUGCUCGGAAUUAUUGGGCGUAAAGCGCACGUAGGCGGCUUCGCAAGUCGGAUGUGAAAUCCCACGGCUCAACCAUGGACGUGCAUUCGAAACUGCGAAGCUUGAGUAUGGAAGAGGGUCGCGGAAUUCCCGGUGUAGAGGUGAAAUUCGUAGAUAUCGGGAGGAACACCAGUGGCGAAGGCGGCGACCUGGGCCAAUACUGACGCUGAGGUGCGAAAGCGUGGGGAGCAAACAGG